AGGUGUUGCGGGGGACAGGUGUCUUUCUUCCUCAUUACCUGGCGCCGCGUACUGCCAAAGUCACCUGGAGGGAAGGAGAGGACAGUCUUUCCGAAAAAAAUGAUAGUGAAGGAGAAGAUAGUAAAAGAUAAGAAAAGAAAACAACAUGGGAAGAAGAUAAUAGUGAAAGAAACGAUAGGAAAGAUAAUAGUUAAGUAAAUGAUAGAAAAAUUGAUAGUGAAUGAAAAGAUAGGAAAAGAUAAGAAAAGAAAACAACAUGGAAAGAAGAUGAUAGUGAAAAACACGAUAGGAAAGAUAAUAGUUAAGUAAAUGAUAGAAAAAUUGAUAAUGAAGAAGAUAGGAAAAGAUAAGAGUGAAGAAAACGACAGAAAAGAAGAUAGUGAGGCAAACGACGGGAAAGAUGAUGAUAGUGAAGAAAGCGACAGGGAAAAAAAAAGAUAAUGAAUGAAGUUAUCGACGGAAAAGAUAAUGUAUAAGAUAGCAAAUAGAAAAUGGAUAAGAUAAAAGAUGAUAGUUAAAUGAAGUUUGGUGAACGAAAAGUGAACAAAAGGAGGAAAUACGAAUACGAGGAAAAAUAGGAGAAAGAAGAAGAGGAAGGAAAAAAGAAUAAGGAAUUAGUAAAAAAAAAGAUAAAGACAGAAGACGCGAACACAGUGAAGGAAAAGAUAAAGAAACGAAAGAAAAUAAAGUGAAAUAAAGGAGAGAAAAAGCAAAAUUUAGUGAACUCGAAAUGGGAAAAAAAAGCGAUUAAGAAAAGAGAGAAAACAGAGAAGGAAGAACAAGAAAAAGGAAAAAAAUAGAAUAGAGAAUUUGGAAAAAGAUUAUACGAUGAAAAUGAGGCAAAAAAUACGAAAGAUAAAACAGUGAAUUAAAAGGAAGAAAAGUGAAAUCUGGUUAACCAAAAAAGUGGAGAAGGAGGAACAACAAAAGACAGGGAAAAGAAGAAGAAAAUAAAGGAUAGGGAAGAGGGAAAGAAGAGAACGGAAAGAAAAGGAAUAACAAAAGAAAAAAUGUAGAAAAAUGAGCAAAACAAACAGGAAGAAGGAAAGUGAAGUAAAUAAAUAAUUGAAAAAAACGGGAAAAACGAAAGAAAAUUUAGUGAAUAAAAAUGUGAAAAAAAACAUGAAUAACGAAAAAACAGAGAAAAUAGAGAAAAGUGGAAUAAACAGGAAAAAUAAAAUAAAUGGAAAAAAACGGAAUAUCGAAAAGAAAAUACAGUGAACAAAAAUUGGAAAAAAACAGGAAAAAAUGAAAGGAAAAUAGUGAAGAAAAAGUGAAAAAG